rnacentral:lncRNA from 1 species
GAAACAGAAGCUCUGGCAAUAGUCGGCUGCUUGCUCAAGGUGACACAGUUAAUGGAGAGGCAGAUCUCUGGAUGCGGCGUCUCAGGGGCCACGCCUGCCUCCCCCGCCGCCGCGCGCAUACACAGAAUUCCUCAUGCUGCUGCUAUCACGGAACUCAGGGUUCAUCUCAAAGAUCUCUCUUUGCAUAAUGUGUGUGUGGACCUGCCUACAGAUACAUUGGGUGGAAGCCCUAGGAGCCUCAAGCAAGUCUGAAGAUUGGCCCUGAGAACCACUGUUCUCAUUAUCAGCAAGGAUUUUAUCCAGAGACCUCUAGGAAUACAUUCACUAAAAUGUGACUGUGGUCCUGUGGUUGUAUGAACUCUGGCUCUUCUCGUGAAUUACAUUUCACUGGAGUCAGGUGUUUUCUGUAAACAUCGUUAAACCACGAGACCAACUGCAUUGAACA